rnacentral:rRNA from 1 species
CAGUCGCCACGGUAAUACGAAGGGUGCAAGCGUUACUCGGAAUUACUGGGCGUAAAGCGUGCGUAGGUGGUGGUUUAAGUCCGUUGUGAAAGCCCUGGGCUCAACCUGGGAAUUGCAGUGGAUACUGGGUCACUAGAGUGUGGUAGAGGAUAGUGGAAUUUCCGGUGUAGCAGUGAAAUGCGUAGAGAUCGGAAGGAACAUCUGUGGCGAAGGCGACUAUCUGGGCCAACACUGACACUGAGGCACGAAAGCGUGGGGAGCAAACAGGAUUAGAUACCCGCGUAGUCCCUGUCUCUUAUAC